AAAGAGGUUGCUAUAGAUUGAAUAUUUGUGUCUCCCCCUCACCAAAAUCCAUAUGUUGAAACCCAGCUCCCCCAAAUGAUGGGGCCUCUGGGAGGUGAUUAGAUCGUGAGGGUGAAUGGGGUUGAAUGAAUCCCACAUGAAUGGGAUUUGCCCUCAUAACAAAGACACCAGCCAGCUCCCCCAGCCCUUCUGCCAUGAGAGGAUGCAGCAAGAAGACACAGCUGUCUGUGAACCAGGAAGCAGGACCUCACCUGACACCAUAUCUUCCGACACCUUGAUCUUGGACUUCCCAACCUCCAGAACUGUGGGAAAACACCUUCCAACAAGGGCGGUGAUUCACACUUACUGAAGGCUCACUUGCUAUCUUGUUUGGAUUUCCCUGUUCACGCUACUCCAAGGAGAAGACAUGGGAAUCACCAUCGACAUUUUAUGGCCAAAGAACCCCAGGCAACCGGCCAGCCCUCAAGGUCUCCCAGGAAGGGAGGCGGUCUUUGACCCAGACCCAGUGUCGCCUCCAUCAUGCCUCCUUGACCUUGAAACCAUGCCUCCUUGAUCUUGAAGGCUCCUCCAGAAAAAGGAACACUGGCUCCAAGGCAUAAUCAAAGGAGAUGUGCAGCAUUCCUAAGCACAGUCAGACAUUUCCUGGGAGUACAGGAGCUUCAGCUUGAUCAUUAGUUGUCACAACUUCACUGGCCUCCAUCAGCAGAGCUAGCCAUGCCUCUGACUUUGAAAACAAAGGAUGCAGAAAAGCAGAGAUGCCUCCCACUUAUAAAAGUAUGUGAAGCCUGUAGUCUGAUGAUAUUAUUUUAGUAUCCAUCAUACAGUACUUUCUAGGAGAAGGCAAUGGCACCCCACUCCAGUCCUUUUGCCUGGGAAAUCCCAUGGGCGGAGGAGCCUGGUAGGCUGCAGUCCAUGGGGUCGCUAGGAGUCAGACACGACUGAGCGACUUCACUUUCACUUUUCACUUUGAUGCAUUGGAGAAGGAAAUGGCAACCCACUCCAGUGUUCUUGCCUGGAGAAUGCCGGGGAUGGAGGAGCCUGGUGGGCUGCCGUCUAUGGGGUCGCACACAGUCGGACACGACUGAAGCGACUUAGCAGCAGCAGCAGCAUACUUUACAUCUUUCUCCCUUCCUCCAGGGCACUUGUAAACAAGGGAUAUAUAUGUUACAUUUCUCCUCCAUGCCUUGGUCUAGUCCUCACUCUGACAUUCCCAGCCAAAGUAGAUUAACUCAGAAGUUGGCAGUCUCUCCUGCUGGCCUGUGUCCGUGCUUAUAUAUGUGUGUGUGUGCAC
ensembl:lncRNA